UUCACUCUCCACUGGGGAGCUGGUCUUCUGAUUCUCGUCCAGUCUUUGACCACCAUUUGAAGAGCUUCCAUUCGUGUAGCACUUCUAAUUUUACAGAACUUGGCAACAGAUUAUUUGAUCCUGACAACAAGUCAGUGGAGCAGUUAGCGGGAUAUUGCUGCUCUCGCUUUACAGAUUAAGAGACUGUGGCUAUGUGACCUGUACCAGGUCACCAACCUCUAAAUGGCAAAGUGACCUGAGACCCUGGCUGUGCAUCUGUGACUAUGAGCCGUGGCCAAAUGAGAAGAGCCUCAUAGAUGCGGCUGGAGUGAUUAAUAGCAGCCUGUCUCCAGAGCUCUGAGAGCGGGGCAGGAGCGGGUAGGGAGCAGUCCAGAGAUGGGGCCAGAGAAGAUGGCCCAGCUGAUGUCUACGUCUUACCCACCACUGUGAGUCAACACGUCCAGUGAACUGCCAGGGAAAUGAUUUGCCUGAGAAACAAAAGAGCCUGAAGAUGGGAACUCAUUUUAGAGGGCAGAACCCAGCCAAUAAGCCAGACCCAGAACCAGAACCUUAAUUCUCAGUAAUACAGAUGAGUCCUCAUCCCAGCCUUUUACUGACUCAGUAUUCAGGUCAUUGGAGAGAGAAGACUGUGAGCAAACAUAAAAAGCUGUUUUCAUGAAUUAUUCUCUAAGAGAUCAACUUGCUUAGGGACCCCUUCCCAGAAUGGAAUGCAUAAAGGAGGAAGUCAACCUCAGGAUCUCGAGGGGAUCCCUGCCGUCCUAGCAGGGGUACCCCGGAGGUGGGGCAGUGCCUGCAGCGGGUGGUGGAAGUGCCCGCAGAGGUAGUGGCAAUGCCUGUGCGGGUUAGGAGUACCCUGCCUGGAGCCCAGGAGAGCAGCAAGGGCAGGAGAGAGGGGAACAGAGUGGAGACGACACAAUGGACUCAUUGGGGAGAUGAGCGAUUUUAGUCUUGAUCAUAUGGGAGAAACUCUCUGGAACCUUCCAAGAAUAUUGGGAGAAGUGCUGGUGAACAGGGAUUUGGCUGGAGGCCAAGGCUCUGCCCAACAGGAACAAAAGUCCAAGGGCCACUAACCAAAUUUAUUCAAAACCCCACAUGUUUCUGCCUCCACUGUGCCAUCUAUAAAACCAGAACCUAAGACAUGAUGAGUGGUUGGGGUCUACACUCAUGCUUUUUUCAGAGCAGCUCUGUUAUUGUCUGUUCUUUUUUUACGGGGCAUUCUGGUAUGAUUUCAUUUGAAAAGGGAGUUCCUAAGCUCAAAUCCCUGAACAGGGUGCUUUCCAAGGGCCCAGCCAGCAUUAGGACCCUACAGCUCUUCGUCUAUGAAUAAGAAAGGAACAGUGGAUGCUGUGAUGAGGACUUCUGUGGAGCCAAGGCCAGGCCAGGGGAGGUUGUGGUCAGAAGAGAUUCCCCAGAGUCUGAGCCAUUCUUAGCUUAAUGGCUCUACGUGUUGACAAAGUCAAAUUCCCUGUAGGUCCUGAAGCCAUCCAGGACAGUUGUGGCAGUGUUUAGGGCUG